UUAACACAUGCAAGUCGAGGGGUAGCAGGAGAGAGCUUGCUUUCUUGCUGACGACCGGCGCACGGGUGCGUAACGCGUAUGCAACCUACCUUCUACAGGGGGAUAGCCCAGAGAAAUUUGGAAUAAUAGCCCAUACGAUCAAUGAUUGGCAUCGAUUAUUGAAGAAAAUUCCGGUGGUAGCAGAUGGGCAUGCGUCCUAUUAGUUAGUUGGUGAGGUAACGGCUCACCAAGACAUCGACGAA
rnacentral:rRNA from 1 species